UACGAAGGGGACUAGCGUUGUUCGGAUUUACUGGGCGUAAAGCGCGCGUAGGCGGAUCGCUAAGUCAGGGGUGAAAUCCCAAGGCUCAACCUUGGAACUGCCUUUGAUACUGACGAUCUGGAGAUCGGGAGAGGUGAGUGGAAUUCCGAGUGUAGAGGUGAAAUACGUAGAGAUUGGGAAGAACACCAGUGGCGAAGGCGGCUAUCUGGACGGUUUCUGACACUAAGACUCGAAAGCGUGGGGAGCAAACAGG
rnacentral:rRNA from 1 species